GACGAACGCUGGCGGCGUGCUUAACACAUGCAAGUCGAACGGUAAGGCCCUUCGGGGUACACGAGUGGCGAACGGGUGAGUAACACGUGGGUGAUCUGCCCUGCACUUCGGGAUAAGCCUGGGAAACUGGGUCUAAUACCGGAUAGGACCACUGCCUGCAUGGGUGGUGGUGGAAAGCUUUUGCGGUGUGGGAUGGGCCCGCGGCCUAUCAGCUUGUUGGUGGGGUGAUGGCCCACCAAGGCGACGACGGGGAGCCGGCCUGAGAGGGUGACCGGCCACAGUGGGACUGAGGUACGGCCCAGACUCCUACGGGAGGCAGCAGUGGGGAAUAUUGCACAAUGGGCGCAAGCCUGAUGCAGCGACGCCGCGGGAGGGAUGACGGCCUUCGGGUUGUAAACCUCUUUCAGCACCGACGAAGCGCAAGUGACGGUAGGUGCAGAAGAAGGACCGGCCAACUACGUGCCAGCCGCCGCGGUAA
rnacentral:rRNA from 1 species